GCAGCAGCAGUGGCAGCAGUCCUGAACUCAUAAAAUUUCCACACACAUAUAUCCAGUGAAAAAGAGUUUUGGACAUCAUAAAUGACGCCCCAAAAUGAUAUACGAUAUGAAUAUGUUAGAAAUCUGGUUGGUCGUUUGCCAAGUAAAUCCAGAAGUUUACUUUUUCCAAUUCUUCAAAACGUUACAUAUCAGAGCUAUCCAUCCGUACAGUUAGAUCCAGAUUGCAGCUCAGAUGAGGGAAACAAAGACGUUCAUGGAUCUGUUAGUCUGCAGGUGGAUGCAUCAGAAUGGAGCAGAGCAGGAAGCUUUUGACCCGCUCAGCGUAUUUUCUGUCCCCUUUUCCAAAUAACAGUUUUUCAUCGGCUCUUGAUUCACAGCAAUUUGAGUACAGAAAUACUCAGAAAUGUCAUUUUAAAUUUAAUGUUCUUAGUGUAUGUCCUCCACCAUCAGACAAAAGCUACAAGAACAUGUUAAAAUUUCAUGUUUAGAGUGAUUGGAAAUGGGGAUCUUUACAUAGGGUCUUUGGGGGUUGUUGACCUCUAAAAGUCCUUCACCCAUGCUUAACUAUCUUAGCAUAUUGGUCUCCUCUUCAGGUUCAUACAGCACCAGGGGACAGAGGUGUCAAAGCUUUGGGGGACUCUGCACCAUAUUUGAACUGCUUUCCCAGCAGGGAUAGUUACAUUGUCUCCGCCAGUUCUUACUGUGGCUGGGCCUCUAUCUGUACUUUUUGGUGUUUGAAUGAAGUUCACCAUGGCAACUACUUGUUCUUCAUCCAUUCCGAAGGCCUGACGAAGGAGGCUGUAUAGAACUGUGCUGGCUUCGUCAUCUGAUUCCUGUCUCUCAAUAACUGCUCCAAGCACAUUAGCUCCCACUAAUGGCUGGGGCAGUGACAAUCUACUAACAAGAAAUGGUGCCUGUACUGUGAGAUUAGGAUCUUCUUGGCAAGCGAGUGUGACUGGGAGUUCUACCCACCCGUCAUAGGGGACUGUUUGGCCAUUGACUGCAUAAACUUAAAACCCAUCAUUAAGAGGUUCUUGUAGUGGUCUCACUGAAUAGCUGGGGAUAUACUUCUUGGCCCAAUGUUGGUCUACCAUAGGUUGGUGAACCAGAGUCAAACAAUACUUUCGCUGGAUAACCACUGAUCAAACAUUCUAAAAGACUUUUCUUAUCGUCAAGGGGAACUUUACAUCUUGUGGUGUUUUAAAAGGGGUUCUCAUAGGGUUUCCUCUGGUGGUAUUGAGGUUGUUUUCUUGACUGUUUACUGUGGCGUCUUGCAUGCGGUUGUGCAGGAGAAGGCUUUACUGGAUGGGACCGGAGCUUUGGACCAGCCUCUGGCUGUCCCUCGACAGAGGCCAAUUCACGUUUCCCUGAAACUUGGUCCACUUCAAGCAUCUAAUUGCACGACGCCCUGAUUCACACCACACACAAAACAAUGGCAACAGUCCUGCAGGUUUUGCUUACUGCAUUUUGGGCAGCAGAAUGUUCUUUUCAAUGGGGUUGUUUGGCGAUCAAAGGGUUGAGGAGCUUGACAGUAUUGUGGCUGAAGGCGAAGGUGUCGUUACAGGAGUUCGGUAUUGGGUCAGUGGUAAUGGGGCAUGGUGGUAUGGCCCUGUGGCUUUUGAUUUCAUCAAACCAGCCACCAGGUUGGUUAACGUCUCUACUUGGUCUGUGAGUUGUUUGUUUGAGCCAUUUGUUGAUCUUUGGUUAUUUUUGUUUCUUUUGUCUCAAUUACUGAACUUUGAGCUUGUACGAUUCUCUGGCGGGUUACUUGGCCUAAUCUCCGCUGAUGUUCUUUUUCCAUCGCUGAUUAUCUUCCUGGCUUCGCUAAGUAUCUCCUCAUCAGUGACAUUAUGAUUUGAAGUAAGGGGUCUUAGUCUUAAGCGCAAGUCUGCAUAUUUAACUCCCAGGCCUUGGUAGACUGUGUGAAGGAACACUUCCUGAAUUGUCUUGGGGUCAUAGGAAAUGUCAGAGGUGGCCUGUUUUGACUAAAAGAUUAAUUUCUGCUUGAGUCCAAUCAUGCAAUACAAAAACUGUUGAGGUGAUUCGUGUUUGGCUUGCUUGGCACACAUCAACUCCUGGAACAUCUCCGUUGUUGCUUUUUCUCCGAGGUGAGACCUGAAGAAGCAUUGCAGUUCUGAGAUAGUUCAUCCUUGUGCAUGAGCAUGUCCCUAAAGGUACCAGGCUUUACAAUUCUCAGUACACCUCUAACAAUCUCAGCUUCAGCAAAACCGUCUUUAGGUCCUUCGCUGAUCUGUUUGGUGAGAAUGUUGUAGCUAAUGUCAGAGCUGUUAUCUCUGAUCUGUCCUCCAAACACCUUGAAUUCUCUCAGAGGCAGGUAGGAAAGGUCUCUCAGAGAUAAGAGGUCUGUUUUGGGACUGUGAGUGACUUUGACGACUCGGCGUUGUGGCAGGUUGUGAUGCUGUAACUUCGCAUUGCCUCAGCCUCUCAAUCUUUUCCUCACACAUUCUCAUUAGUUCUUCUGUUGAUUGUUCUUCUGUGUUAGUAUUUGUUCUAAGGUGUCUAAGGGUCUGGUAAUAUGUUAGGCCGCAAUGAGCUUUGCAUGGCAUGUGUUUCAGCCUUGGGGGAUGCAUCAGCUGGAGGUUCUGGAUCAUUUGUUUUAAUAGCUUGACUUAUUAGGUCAUUCAACAUGAGCAGGUGGCUCAUCCCCUCAUCUUCAAGGUUCAGCAGAGUGUCUGAUUGUAAAUAAGAGGCGAUAUAGUCCAUGCAGCCUUCCUUGUCAUGCUGACUGAAUUGUAUGGAGUUGCUACUGUCUGUAGCGAUGCUUCUUGCCAGCUCAAAGAGAUUUAUGGUGGAGAGUGUGAAUAAGCAUCCUCUAAUUUCCCACACUGGUUUUUUGCGUACUGUCGACAUGUCAAUGUAGGUUUCUGUAUUCUUCUUUGUUAUAGUUUUCUGUGAUUUGUGUGUUUUACUGCCUUUCAGCAGUGCAGUUCCUUUCUGAGGUAAAGAUCCUUUGCUCCCUGAUCUCCCUCCUUGGACACUCACCAACUGACUUGACUUGAAUGGUGGUUCGGUCUCGGAUGGAUCUGCUCCUCAACGACUGAAGAGGGGAAAUCCUGGAUGAGCCCCCACAGUUUGUUACGGGUCCCGGGUGCGGUGACCACAAUAACAAAAAGAAUUGUGUCUGUGAAAAUAUAAAACGAGUCUCAUAGCAGAAAUGACACUAACACUUUCUUUCAUUCUCCAAAUCACUUCUAACGUAAACAGGAAGUUGAUCCGUCUUCAGCCACUUGGAGGCGCUGCCAGACUGCCGAAGGUUCCGUCUACCAGACUCAUAAUAUAGUUUAUUUUUUUUCACAGAUUAAUUUUAAUAAAUGCAUUCAAAAUGUAAAUUUUAAAUAAUGUAAUGACUACAAAAUAAUGGCUUUUAAUUUUAAAAUAGAUACCAAAUGUGGAGGCACAUAUUUGGGUGCACCACAUAUACGUACGAAAUUGAACUAAACAUACUAUUGCUGUCACCGAAGUCAUCCAAGCAUUGAAAUGUUUUUGUCAGGAGCUCCCCAUGACUGCCAGACAAGACCCCCACCUGCAUUCUGUCACGUGAUUUAAUACUUCUUCCUUUCUUGACUCCACCUACCUGGUAGGGUAGGACUCACGUUCUCUUUAUACUGCCCCCUGCAGGUGUGGAGUUGAUCCUACCUGGAACACAGAGACGCCUCGGAUGUGAAUUGUUACCAAGUACAUAAACUAAAAUGGACUCUGCAGUGUGAAAGAUGGACCUGUGUCGGAGAGCCAGGGGGUGAUCAGAAACCCCAGCUCAUCGCUAUGACAACAACCAGUGAGUUCAGAGAGGAGGACAGGGUCUGCACUGCUGGAUGGGAUCCCAAAACACUGAGAAGAGCCAGUCGGUCAGGGAAAAACCGACCAGGCCCACUUCUGCUGCAGAAUUCCCAGAAUGCAACACUUUUCUUCUCCACUGAUACAAGUGGAGGAGGCAGUGGCUUUGUAGUCAGGCACCAGGCUGUUGUGGGACUCUGGGUUGGAAUUCCAGCACCCAUCAGAAACACAACAACAGAUCCAGAUCCAUGACAUCUCUGCUACAGCAGAGCCAAAGCAACAGCGUCAGCGGCUCAUGAGCAUUUCCUUCUCUAAAUGAAAGCAGGUUUCUGACACGGAACUGUCUCCCUCCUUCUGUGUGUGACCAGGAUGUGGGGCAGUUGUUCUGGUCAGAGACCAGGCUGGACUCUGCAGCCCAAAUUACCCUCAGUCCGUUGGGUUGUGUUUGCUCUGUAGGGCCAUGUUGUUGGGGUAAUCUCAACAAGCUCCCUGAUGAAAUCUAAGGAGGAAAGCGAUGGACAGUGAGAGUAAAAAAAGUAUAUGAUCCAUUGCUGAUUUAAUUGUUUUGUCCACUAAUAAAGACACAAUCAUCCUAUACUUUUAAUGGUAGAUGUAUUCGAACAUGGAAAGACAGAAUAUCAAAACGAAAAUCCAGAAAACAACCUAAAAGAAUUUAUGAAAAAAUUAUUUGUAUUUCAGUGAGAUAAAUAAGUAUUUGAUCCCCUAUCCAAAGGCACUUAAUACUUGGUAGCAAAGCUAGGGCAGCAGCUGCAGUAAUGCAGAGGGAGCUCAGCCACAAAGCAAAGCUUGUUAUUUACUGAUCAAUCCAUGUUCCAACCCUACCCUAUGGUCAUGAUCUUCGGGUCAUGACUGAAAGGAGAAGAUCCAGGAUAGCAGAGGCGGAAUUGAGCGGUGUUGUGCUCCUCAGUUUUUCUGAAGAACCAAUUGCAGAAACCGUAAAUGUGACUUUGGAGCAGCAGAGGCUGCAGUCCAGUGAACUGGUUCAGGUGACACAGUCUCUAGCAAACCUGGUGGAAAAUGAGCAAUAACAGAAACGUUUGCCCCUGAUCCAUUAUUAAGAAAAAGUUUGGCUUCUUGGAAGCAACUUGCAGGAAAAGAAAAUAAACCGUUUUUCCAAAACGCUUUUUUUAUUUGCAGAGCUGCAUGGUCUCUAAGAAGCGGCUGAGGACAUCUCACAUCAUCUCAGGAUCGGUUGAAGCUUUGCAGAACAUGGAGCCGUUUUUGCAUAUGUUAAGCUGGAAAGAAAGGCCGACUCCGCUGCCAUCUGCUGCAGUCGGCUGAGUUUGUUUGGGGGUUUAUGGGCUCCACCAAGCUGCAGGAGAGUGGACGGGUUUCAGAAGAGUGGUUUCACAUUUUGACAGGAGGUUAGAGGGAAGACACGAGUCAAAGGAAUUGGAUGAAAGACGAGUAUUCAGAUGCUUCUGCACAUGCCCACAACAAGCAGUGACUUUAACUGACCUGUGAGCUCUGGGUGUUUCUGUUUGCUGUUUUCCUCAGGAGAAGAUCUUUCAGCCGUUUGCUCACAGAAGAACCUGAAGAACUGGAAGGAACAGCUGUGCUUUUUUUCCCAGAACUGUUUUUUUUCUUCUUUUUUUUACCAUAACCUUUGUGUCUCCUUCAUCCUUCUGUUUUUCUUGCCUGUCUGCUUUCUCCAGGGUCUCCAGGGUUUUUGCACCAUGAACACUCCCCUGAGAGACCGCUUUGUAGAGCCAACCCCUUCCACCCCGUUUUUUUAGACUGUAAAAUGUCAAGCUCCACCUCUGAGGUGUGCUGACUCACAGUGACUAUAAUCCACAGGUGUGGUUCAAAUAUUAGGAUUAGGAAAGAGUGUGAAUCAAUGAUGAGUUUGCAUGAAAUGUAAAAUAAAGUUACAUUUGUUUUGUUUUGGGAUAACCCCAAAAUAUAUUAUAAAUGUAUUUAUAAUUUUGA